rnacentral:rRNA from 1 species
AUGAAAAAAGAACCCGGAGAGGGGAAGAACAUUAGAUUUUGGGAGGAUAUUUGGGUGGAUGACAAGCCCUUAAAAGAUGCCUACCCUAGAAUAUAUGACAUUUGCUUUGAUCACAAAAUUACUGUGUAUGAGGCCAUCCAAAAAGGAUGGAGAGAUUUCAAAUUUAGAAGGACUCUGCAUGGAGAAACUCUAGAGUUGUGGAAUGCUUUAAAGAGUAUAUGUGAAAAGAUUAAAAUGAAUGGGAGGGAAGAUAAGAUCAAAUGGACCCUUACUGCUGAUAAAAAAUUCUCUGUUAAAUCUCUAUACAAAGAAUUGAUUACGUCGGGCCUGAAAUUUCCACAGAAAUAUCUUUGGAAAAUCAAAGUUCCUGCUAAAAUAAAAGUCUUCCUGGUUAGUUAA